rnacentral:rRNA from 1 species
UACGGGGGGAGCAAGCGUUGUUCGGAUUUACUGGGCGUAAAGGGCGCGUAGGCGGUCGUGACAAGUCACUUGUGAAAUCUCCGGGCUUAACUCGGAAAGGUCAAGUGAUACUGUCGGACUAGAGUACAGAAGGGGCAACUGGAAUUCUCGGUGUAGCGGUGAAAUGCGUAGAUAUCGGGAAGAACACCAGUGGCGAAGGCGCUCUACUGGCCACAACUGACGCUGAGGGACGAAAGCUAGGGAGCGAAAGG